CCUGUUAGAGCCAAAAUGGUGGAGGGAGAAGAGGCUGGCUGGCCACGGCAGGGGCUAUCUGGACCCAAAGUCCUCAGCUCUCCCAUGAGACCUGCAACUCUCUGAUGGUGGAGAUCAUUUUAUUUUGGUGCACACGUUCCAAUUCAGGGUGGAAGUUCUGUGUCCACGUAACACCUUAACAUAUAAGGGAAUCUGCCAGUGAGCUUGGUUACCCCACCCGCUCCUGCUGCCAUGUGCAUUGUGAUUUCACAUGGACUCUCCCUGGGAAAGGACUUCGGCCACAACAGAAGUGAAGAAGCAGGGGCUGGGUGCCUGGUGCCACAGUUGGUUAAAUGUCCAACUCUUGGUUUUGGCUCCCGUCAUGAUCCCAGAGUGGUGAGAUUAAGCCCCACAUGGGGCUCUGCGCUCAGCGUGGAGUGCUUAAGACUCUCUCUUCCUCUCCGCCCUGCUCACUCUCUCUCUAUAUCUCUCUCUUUCAAAUAAAUAAAUCUCAAAAAAAAAAAAAGGAAUGAAGAAGCAAAGAAUCAAAGUUAUGUCACGAUUUAAUCCCAAGACCAUCUUACUCCAAAGUUCUUGUCCUGUCCACUAUACUCCACCCUUCCUGGUUGUGAGAUAUAUAAGCUCUUUGAGUUCCUUGUAAGACCAUUGAUUUUGCUGGUGGGGUGGUUUUCAAAUUCUGUUUAAGCCUUUGCUUCAGUGUUCUAUUGCUGUGUAACAAACCACCAGUAAAUGUAGUAGAAUAAAAUAGUGUUUCAUUUUGAACACAAUUCUGAGGUCUACAACAAGACAAGCAGGGUUGACUGGUCUCUGCUUCACAUGAUGUCUGCUGGAGGCCGAAUGUCUGCGACAGUGUCUUCAUGUCCCCUGGGAUGGUUCAGAUGGCUGGGGGCUGGCUGGAGCAGCUCACCUGGAGGCAUGUGUUCCUGCCUCAGGUCUACUGUUUGGCUGGUUCUUUGGUUCACUGCCACCUGGUCUCUUCAGCAAAGUAGGGCUUCUUAGAUGGCAGCUGAGGCCCCAAGAGCCCACUUGUCAAAGGAGAAGUGGAAGCUGCCAGUCAUCUUGAAGGCUGGUGCAGCAUUACUUCUAUCACAUUCUUUGGUCAAGCAGUCAUGGGAGCCACCUAAAUUAAGAGCUGGGUAAAUAAACUCCACCUCUUGAUGGGGGAAGUGAAAGAACUUCUGGCCAUCUUUCAUCUGCACAGCUUUGAAACCUCUGAGAGGCUAAAUCCUAUGCAGAAUUUGAAUGUGCAAAACUGAUAAAGGGAAGGAGACACAUCGGUUUGAAGUGGGGACUUAAGGGGAGUGUGCAGAGCCUUGUCCACCCUGCUGCUCUCUUGGACUUUCGAUGAAACCAAGGUUUCUAUGGAAGAGAACUUUUAAAGCCUGACCUGGAGGACAGCAGAAGAACAAGACCCUCCAGGACCCUGCCUCUGCCUGCCUCUCUGACCUUACCUAGAUUCAUCUCAGCCCACCCCACUUUCACUCUCUGAGCUCUGUCCUUCUUUCUGUUUGCAAACACAGGCUUACCAUGGGGUUUUGCAUGAGGCUGUCCCAUUGCCUGGAAUUCUUAUUCCUCAGGUUUUGAUACAGUGAACUCCAACCUGCCAUUCAGACUAUGGGAAACCUUCCCUAGCUAAGGCAGCCCUCCUCAAACUCCAAGCACUUUCUGUUGCAUUAACCUUUCUUAUUUCCUUUGUAAUGCUUAAUAUCUAGAAUGUAUCUCAUUGAAAUGUUCCCUAAGGGCAGGAGCCUCGUCCGUCUUGUUCACUGCUGUCAUUCUUGGCACCCAGUGCAGAGCUUGCCACUUACUAGGCAUUCAAUGAAUACUCAUUGAACAACUGCAUGAAUAGUUGAAUGGAUGAAUGAAAAACGUUCAGUGAAAGGCUACUUAGCUCUAUCUUCUCCUCCUGAUGUGU